rnacentral:piRNA from 1 species
UGCUUCCAUCUUCCUGUUUAGGCCAUGUGC